UACGUAGGGUGCGAGCGUUGUCCGGAAUUAUUGGGCGUAAAGGGCUCGUAGGCGGUUUGUCGCGUCGGGAGUGAAAACUCAGGGCUUAACCCUGAGCCUGCUUCCGAUACGGGCAGACUAGAGGUAUGCAGGGGAGAAUGGAAUUCCUGGUGUAGCGGUGAAAUGCGCAGAUAUCAGGAGGAACACCGGUGGCGAAGGCGGCAUCCUGGACCGACACUGACGCUGAGGAGCGAAAGCCAGGGGAGCAAACGGG
rnacentral:rRNA from 1 species